UACAGAGGGUGCGAGCGUUGUCCGGAAUUACUGGGCGUAAAGCGUGCGCAGGCGGUGAUGUAAGACAGGUGUGAAAUCCCCGGGCUUAACCUGGGAACUGCAUUUGUGACUGCAUCGCUGGAGUGCGGCAGAGGGGGAUGGAAUUCCGCGUGUAGCAGUGAAAUGCGUAGAUAUGCGGAGGAACACCGAUAGCGAAGGCAAUCCCCUGGGCCUGCACUGACGCUCAUGCACGAAAGCGUGGGGAGCAAACAGG
rnacentral:rRNA from 1 species